UCAACGGCCACACCCAACACUCAACAGGCAAAACGAUAACAAGUGGGUACAACGUAAGCUUCAAAUCGUGUUUGUGUGGCAAGAGCACCGAGAUUGGUAUGUGGAUGUCCAACUGCUAACUGUUAAGAAGACAUUGCAGUGGAGAUAGGGAGAGAGGGGGAGAGAGAGAAUGGCUCUGAUGCGAAGAGCUUCUGCGAGCCUCCCCCAACUUAUUGGAUUUGCAAACAGGUCCUUCAAAUCCUUCAGAUUCCCGGGCGACUCCCUCGAUUCCUCAACACCAUCUACUCUUACCCAUGGAAUCCACGUCUUCCAGUGCCCUGAUGCGGUCGGGAUUGUUGCGAACCUAUCGGAUUGUAUAGCCAGUAGAGGAGGGAAUAUACUCGGCGCGGAUGUUUUUGUACCCGAAAACAAGCACGUGUUCUAUUCCAGAAGUGAGUUUAUUUUUGAUCCUGUUAAAUGGCCUCGGGAGCAAAUGGAUGAAGAUUUUGUUAAGCUAUCAAAAAUGUUUAAUGCUAUGAGAUCUGUUGUCCGGGUGCCAGCUCUGGACUCCAAAUACAAGAUUGCUGUCCUUGCUUCAAAGCAGGACCAUUGUCUGGUUGAUUUGUUACAUGGAUGGCAGGAUGGAAGACUUCCACUAGAUAUAACUUGUGUGAUAAGCAAUCAUGAUAGAGGUUCAAACACCCAUGUGAUUCGUUUUCUUGAGAGGCAUGGUAUUCCUUAUCAUUAUUUACACACAACCAAAGAGAAUAAACGAGAAGGGGACAUCUUGGAAUUGGUUCAGAAUACUCAUUUUUUAGUACUUGCUAGGUACAUGCAGAUACUAUCUGGUAAUUUCUUGAAGAGCUAUGGAAAGGAUAUAAUAAACAUUCACCAUGGCCUUUUACCAUCAUUCAAGGGCGGGAAUCCAUCUAAACAGGCUUUUGACGCAGGUGUGAAACUGAUUGGUGCAACAAGCCACUUUGUGACUGAAGAACUCGAUGCAGGGCCUAUUAUUGAACAGAUGGUGAUUUCGGGACUGUUUACGGCAAUUAUUGCUUCCAUUUACUCUAUGACUGUCUUCUAAAGCUUAAAAUGGUUGAGAGAGUGUCCCACAGAGAUAACUUGCAGACUUUUGUGCAGAAAUCAGAGAACCUUGAGAAACAAUGCCUUGCAAAGGCUCUAAAAUCUUACUGCGAGCUGCGAGUUUUACCUUAUGAACAAAACAGGACUGUUGUGUUUUAAAGGUGGAUGCGUAAUUGGGUGAUAUCAUCCCGACUACAAGGUUGCCCCCAAAUGAAGUUGUACACCUUCUAUCCAAUUCUUUUUGAAGUACUGCAUGGCCUGGAAAUGCUUAGCCGGUACAUAAUCAACAUUGACACUCUCCUCUUCUGCAUUUUCUCAACUCAGUUAUGACUUUGUCAUUUGAUCAAUGAAAGUGGCUGCAAGAAUUCUUUGUA